rnacentral:rRNA from 1 species
UACGUAGGGCGCAAGCGUUGUCCGGAAUUAUUGGGCGUAAAGAGCUCGUAGGCGGCCUGUUGCGUCCGCUGUGAAAACGCGAGGCUCAACCUCGCGCCUGCAGUGGGUACGGGCAGACUAGAGUGCGGUAGGGGAGAUUGGAAUUCCUGGUGUAGCGGUGGAAUGCGCAGAUAUCAGGAGGAACACCGAUGGCGAAGGCAGAUCUCUGGGCCGUAACUGACGCUGAGGAGCGAAAGCGUGGGGAGCGAACAGG